rnacentral:rRNA from 1 species
AUUGAACGCUGGCGGCACGCCUAACACAUGCAAGUCGAGCGGCAGCGAGAGUAGUAGCAAUACUACUUGUCGGCGAGCGGCGGACGGGUGAGGAACACGUAGGAAUCUACCCAGAAGAGGGGGAUAACCAAGGGAAACUUUGGCUAAUACCGCAUAAUCUCGAGAGAGGAAAAGCUGCCCGCAAGGGUGGCGCUUUUGGAGGAGCCUGCGUCCGAUUAGCUAGUUGGUAGGGUAAAGGCCUACCAAGGCGAUGAUCGGUAACUGGUCUGAGAGGACGACCAGGCACACUGGGACUGAGACACGGCCCAGACUCCUACGGGAGGCAGCAGUGGGGAAUAUUGGACAAUGGGGGCAACCCUGAUCCAGCGAUGCCGCGUGAGUGAAGAAGGCCUUCGGGUCGUAAAGCUCUUUAGGUUGGGAAGAAGGGUGCGAGGGUAAUAUCCUUGUACUUUGACGGUACCAACAGAAUAAGCACCGGCAAACUCUGUGCCAGCAGCCGCCGUAA